rnacentral:rRNA from 1 species
CCCUUAGAUGUUCUGGGCUGCACGCGCGCUACACUGAUGCUUUCAUCGAGUAUAUAACCUUACCAGACAUGGUUGGGUAAUCUUUUGAAACAGCAUCGUGAUGGGGAUAGAUUAUUGUAAUUAUUAGUCUUCAACGAGGAAUUCCUAGUAAGCGCGAAUCAUCAGUUCGUGCUGAUUACGUCCCUGCCCUUUGUACACACCGCCCGUCGCUCCUACCGAUUGAAUGCUCAGGUGAGCCAUUCGGACUUUCAUCAUGCUGGUUUCCAGUUUUGAUGAAGGAAAGUCUUGCGAACCUUAUCAUUUAGAGGAAGGAGAAGUCGUAACA